rnacentral:rRNA from 1 species
UACUAGCGGUCCAAGUCGCAGCCAUUUUUAUUGGGUCUAAAACAUCCGUAGCUUGCUUAAUAAGUUUCUUGUGAAAUUUUGUAUCUUAAAUACAGAGCGUGCAAGAAAUACUGUUGAGCUAGAGACUGGAAGACGGAAAAAGUACAUUCAGAGUAACGGUUAAAUGUGUUAAUCCUGGAUGGACUAACAAUAGCGAAGGCAUUUUCCGAGGACAGUUCUGACAGUAAGGGAUGAAGGCUAGGGGCGCAAAUGGGAUUAGAUACCCGCGUA